AGCAAGAGAGAGUCACAGCUGUCAAUCAUGAAAUCUCAGCCCCUUUUUAUAUCAUCAAAUAACUAAUUUAUACCAAACUUAUCAGAAAAAUUAACACUUGAACUUACAUCAGCGUGAUAAGAACUACCUAAAAUUACAGAAACCAUCUUUG